UUUUGUGUGUGUUCGUGACUGAUGGGAACAACAAUCUUUGACAUCGGUCCAGUAUUAAGAGAGAACGCUGCUGUCGGCAGUCAGCGAA